rnacentral:rRNA from 1 species
CCUACGGGUGGCAGCAGUGAGGAAUAUUGGUCAAUGGACGAGAGUCUGAACCAGCCAAGUAGCGUGAAGGAUGACUGCCCUAUGGGUUGUAAACUUCUUUUAUAUGGGAAUAAAAUGUUCCACGUGUGGGAUUUUGUAUGUACCAUAUGAAUAAGGAUCGGCUAACUCCGUGCCAGCAGCCGCGGUAAUACGGAGCAGCCGAGCGUUAUCCGGAUUUAUUGGGUUUAAAGGGAGCGUAGGUGGAUUGUUAAGUCAGUUGUGAAAGUUUGCGGCUCAACCGUAAAAUUGCAGUUGAAACUGGCAGUCUUGAGUACAGUAGAGGUGGGCGGAAUUCGUGGUGUAGCGGUGAAAUGCUUAGAUAUCACGAAGAACUCCGAUUGCGAAGGCAGUUCACUGGACUGCAACUGACACUGAGGCUCGAAAGUGUGGGUAUCAAACAGGAUUAGAUACCCGGGUAGUC